rnacentral:rRNA from 1 species
ACUCCUACGGGAGGCAGCAGUGGGGAAUCUUGGACAAUGGGCGCAAGCCUGAUCCAGCCAUGCCGCGUGAGCGAUGAAGGCCUUAGGGUCGUAAAACUCUUUCGCCAGGGAUGAUAAUGACAGUACCUGGUAAAGAAACCCCGGCUAACUCCGUGCCAGCAGCCGCGGUAAUACGGAGGGGGUUAGCGUUGUUCGGAAUUACUGGGGCGUAAAGCGCGCGUAGGCGGACUAGUUAGUCAGAGGUGAAAUCCCGGGGCUCAACCCCGGAACUGCCUUUGAUACUGCUAGUCUUGAGUUCGAGAGAGGUGAGUGGAAUUCCGAGUGUAGAGGUGAAAUUCGUAGAUAUUCGGAGGAACACCAGUGGCGAAGGCGGCUCACUGGCUCGAUACUGACGCUGAGGUGCGAAAGUGUGGGGAGCAAACAGGAUUAGAUACCCUGGUAGGAUAGCC